ensembl:miRNA
GGGCAUGGCCUGAGACCAGGACUGGAUGCACCACUCUCCCUGUGAUGAGGUGAAGCCAGCUCUGGUCUGGGCCGUUUCAC